rnacentral:rRNA from 1 species
GGGGAUAACACUUAGAAAUAGGUGCUAAGACCGCAUAAGCGCCCAGGGCCGCAUGGCCCAGGGUGAAAAACUCCGGUGGUAUAAGAUGGGCCCGCGUCUGAUUAGCCAGUUGGCAGGGUAACGGCCUACCAAAGCGACGAUCAGUAGCCGGCCUGAGAGGGUGGACGGCCACAUUGGGACUGAGACACGGCCCAAACUCCUACGGGAGGCAGCAGUGGGGGAUAUUGCACAAUGGGGGAAACCCUGAUGCAGCGACGCCGCGUGAGUGGAGAAGUAUUUCGGUAUGUAAAGCUCUAUCAGCAGGGAAGAAAGAAGACGGUACCUGAGUAAGAAGCCCCGGCUAACUACGUGCCAGCAGCCGCGGUAAUACGUAGGGGGCAAGCGUUAUCCGGAUUUACUGGGUGUAAAGGGAGCGUAGACGGCAAGGCAAGCCUGGAGUGAAAGGCGGGGGCCCAACCCCCGGACUGCUCUGGGAACUGUCUGGCUAGAGUGCAGGAGGGGUAAGUGGAAUUCCUAGUGUAGCGGUGAAAUGCGUAGAUAUUAGGAGGAACACCAGUGGCGAAGGCGGCUUACUGGACUGUAACUGACGUUGAGGCUCGAAAGCGUGGGGAGCAAACAGGAUUAGAUACCCUGGUAGUCCACGCCGUAAACGAUGAU